AGAUCACUUGGACACGCCAGGCAAAAGGACCGCCCUGUAACCAGGGCCUAAGGUCUUAUCCCUCUCAUUCUUAAACUAGCAGAACCCCCUUGUGCCUCUGGCUGAGUGACCCCCCUUUAAGAAGGGUCGAGGUCUCUCUGGCUUUCUACUAUUCAGGACCUAGCCUUUAAAAUGCCCUGUGCCAAUGACCUCUCCCUGUAAGAAGGGUGCAGGUCUCCCAUUUCUAGCUUGUCUUGGGCCGCUGGCACUUGCUGGGCAAAGAGACCACCCUCUACCGAGGGAAUGGGGGUCUCUCCUUUUCAGCGCUCUUGGCAAUGGCCCAUUGAAAUGGCCCUGGCUUAAAGACCACCCUGUAAGGAGGGUUUGGGUCUCCUUCGCCACGCUUAUGUAGCCACAUGCCAGGCAAAAGGACCGCCCUGUAACCAGGGUGUAAGGUCUUAGCCCUCUCGUUCUUAAACUAGGAGAGCCUCUUUGUGCCUGUGGCUGAGUGACCCCCCUUUAAGAAGGGUUGCGGUUCCAGUUCUGUUAGUCGCAGAAAAUUCCCCAAGAAUGAUUUCUAUUUGGCUUUUUUGAGCUUUGAGGUGAAAUCUUAUUUGUGACCCGUGUAUUUCUUCUCCGGGUCACGUGUAACCCGGUGUGGCGAAGGGGCGGCUGUAAGGGGAUGGUGGAGGCCGUGAAAAAUUCGACCCUUCUUUCCCAGAGAGCCAACAAAUCGGCCCAAAUUCCGUAUCUCACAAAGUCUGGAACUGAACAGGUGAGGAAGCGGGCUCCUUUCAGAGCCUCACUUCCAUGCAAUCCUUCCUCAUCUCCUCUUGCCCUGCCCAAUUUACACUGCCCAAUCAACCUCAGCUUUGAGCCCGUGUUUGAUUCGGCACAAGAAAGACGUUGCUGGACGUAGCAUUUGUAAGGGUACAGAUUCGGAGAGCUCCGUAAGUUGUGUCUGAAUUCCAGGCCUUUUGUUUCUUUGCUGACAGAACGAGGCUAUUCCUAGGGCUAUGUUUGAAGUGAUUGAUGCGGCUGUCCUUUUGGAAAUGUGCUCAUGCUCAGCUGGUGUAGGUUCUUGGCGUGGUAUUCAGAACUUGCACGGGGGUGCACCUAACCCUACUAACAGGACUGUGUUUUGGUCAAGGUUAGGGGGCACAAAGUUGAAAUUUUCUUGGUGGGGUAGGAAGGUAAGUCGGGAAGGGUGUUGCCGAGGGAUGGAGGAUUUAAUGGUAAUGCGAGACUCAGCGGGACUCCUCCCUUACCUGUUCAUUACCAGAUCUUUUCACAUUGGGGACUUCCCCCCCUUCUUUAAAGGAGGACUAUUUUCCUAAAGAAAGGGUGACCGCCCUGUACUCAGGGAUCGGGUCUGUUUCCCUUUUCUCCUCUCUGCGUUGGCCCUUUUAAUGCCAAAGUCCCUGGCUGGCCAAAGAGAGCCCCCUCUACCGAGGGAAUGGAGGUCUCUCCUUUUCAGCGCUUUUGGCAAUGGCCCAUUGGGAUGCGCCUGGCUUAAGGACCACCCUGUAAGGAGGGUUUGGGUCUCCUUCGCCACGCUUAUGUAGCCACAGCUCACUUUGAUACGCCAGGCAAAAGGACCGCCCUGUAACCAGGGUGUAAGGUCUUAGCCCUCUCAUUCUUGAACUAGGAGAGCCUCUUUGUGCCUCUGGCUGAGUGACCCCCCUUUAAGAAGGGUCGAGGUCUCUCUGGCUUUCUGCUAUUUAGAACCUAGCCUUUAAUAUGCCCCGUGCCACUGACCUCUCCCUGUAAGAAGGGUGCAGGUCUCCCCUUUCUAGCUUGUCUUGGGCCGCUGGCACUUGCUGGGCAAAGAGACCACCCUCUACCGAGGGAAUGGGGGUCUCUCCUUUUCAGCGCUCUUGGCAAUGGCCCAUUGAAAUGGCCCUGGCUUAAAGACCACCCUGUAAGGAGGGUUUGGGUCUCCUUCGCCACGCUUAUGUAGCCACAGCUCACUUUGAUACGCCAGGCAAAAGGACCGCCCUGUAACCAGGGUGUAAGGUCUUAGCCCUCUCAUUCUUGAACUAGGAGAGCCUCUUUGUGCCUCUGGCUGAGUGACCCCCCUUUAAGAAGGGUCGAGGUCUCUCUGGCUUUCUGCUAUUUAGAACGUAGCCUUUAAUAUGCCCCGUGCCACAGACCUCUCCCUGUAAGAAGGGUGCAGGUCUCCCCUUUCUAGCUUGUCUUGGGCCGCUGGCACUUGCUGGGCAAAGGGACCACCCUCUACCGAGGGAAUGGAGGUCCCUCCUUUUCAGCGCUUUUGGCAAUGGCCCAUUGGGAUGCGCCUGGCUUAAGGACCACCCUGUAAGGAGGGUUUGGGUCUCCUUCCCCACCCUUAUUUAGACACAGGUCACUUUGACACGCCAGGUAAAAGGACCGCCCUGUAACCAGGGCCUAAGGUCUUAUCCCUCUCAUUCUUAAACUAGCAGAACCCCCUUGUGCCUCUGGCUGAGUGACCCCCCUUUAAGAAGGGUUGAGGUUCUACUUCGGCUAGUCACCGUAAAUGGCACUAGAAUGAUUUCUACUUGGCUCUUCUGGGUUCUGAAGUGAAAUCUGAUUUGUGUCCCAUGGAUUUCCUGUCCGGGACACUUGGAACCAGGUGUGGCGAAGGGGCGGCUGUAAGGGGAUGGUGGAGGCCGUGAAAAAUUCAACCCUUUCCUCAAAAAAGCCAAGAAAUCACCAAAGUCCAAAGUGAGCUCCCUCUAACUAGGGUGUAGGUCUUUCUCUCACUUUCCCAAGAUUACACUCCCCUUUGAAAGCUAGUUCUAGAAACCAGCCUCUUGAGAGAGUUAAGGGUUUGCCCUUGUAGCUGCCCUGUGCCCGUGGCCUCCUCACGCACUCAGCCAAGUCAAAGCCCAGCGUACUCUGCAUCCGGAUGGCCCUGAGUUCUGCUGCAAGCUCUCCUGCCUUCUGCUACGGAUUGGUGCCGAAGCCUAGGAACUGGGCAACUCAAAGGACAAAAUGAAGACGACGACAGAAGCACCAAAGAAACUGCAGGAAAAGAGAAGAAAAGGCCAGUCAAAAACCACACACACAUUGCACACAUGGCCCUCCCUGUGGCAUUUACACUUGUCCGCCUAGGCUUACUCCCCCUGGAGGGACCAGGGGAAAGGACCUCUCCGUAAACGGAGAUCAAGGUCCGCUCCUUGCCAAGAGAAAUGCUUUAUGGGCCCAUUGCGCACCUGCGGCUGAGUGACCCCCCUUUAAGAAGGGUUGAGGUCUCUGUGCAUUUCGGCUCUUCAGGACUUAGCCUUUAACAUGCCCCGUGCCAUGACCUCUCCCUGUAAGAAGGGUGCGGGUCUCCCCUUUCUAGCUUGUCUUGGGCCGCUGGCACUUGCUGGGCAAAGGGACCACCCUCUACCGAGGGAAUGGAGGUCUCUCCUUUUCAGCGCUUUUGGCAAUGGCCCAUUGAAAUGCCCCGGCUUAAGGACCACCCUGUAAGGAGGGUUUGGGUCUCCUUCGCCACGCUUAUGU